GUACUAGUAGUAUGUACUAUUAGUAUUAGCACUACUAGUACAUACUAGUACUAGUAUGUACUAGUAGUGCUAGUACUACUAGUAGUACU
rnacentral:tRNA from 1 species